rnacentral:rRNA from 1 species
GACGAGAAGCUUGCUUCUCUGACGGUUACCUGCGACCGGGUGGAGUUAACACCUGGAUAACCUACCUAUAAGACUGGGAUAACUUUCGGGAAACCGGAGCUAAUACCGGAUAAUAUUUUUGAACCGCAUGGUUCCAAAAGUGAAAGACGGUCUUGCUGUCACCUUAUAGAUGGAUCCGCGCUGCAUUAGCUAUUGGUAAGGUAACGGCUUACCAAGGCAACGAUGCAUAGCCGACCUGAGAGGGUGAUCGGCCACACUGGAACUGAGACACGGUCCAGACUCCUACGGGAGGCAGCAGUAGGGAAUCUUCCGCAAUGGGCGAAAGCCUGACGGAGCAACGCCGCGUGAGUGAUGAAGGUCUUCGGAUCGUAAAACUCUGUUAUUAGGGAAGAACAUAUGUGUAAGUAACUGUGCACAUCUUGACGGUACCUAAUCAGAAAGCCACGGCUAACUACGUGCCAGCAGCCGCGGUAAUACGUAGGUGGCAAGCGUUAUCCGGAAUUAUUGGGCGUAAAGCGCGCGUAGGCGGUUUUUUAAGUCUGAUGUGAAAGCCCACGGCUCAACCGUGGAGGGUCAUUGGAAACUGGAAAACUUGAGUGCAGAAGAGGAAAGUGGAAUUCCAUGUGUAGCGGUGAAAUGCGCAGAGAUAUGGAGGAACACCAGUGGCGAAGGCGACUUUCUGGUCUGUAACUGACGCUGAUGUGCGAAAGCGUGGGGAUCAAACAGGAUUAGAUACCCUGGUAGUCCACGCCGUAAACGAUGAGUGCUAAGUGUUAGGGGGUUUCCGCCCCUUAGUGCUGCAGCUAACGCAUUAAGCACUCCGCCUGGGGAGUACGACCGCAAGGUUG